AUGCAUCGGUCUUUGGUCAGCCUUGUUGCCAGAGCGGGAAUUUGAGGCUGACGCCAGCUUGCGUCGAAAUUCCCUGUGGACGCCGAGAUCACAAAGAUUCGAAUGCUGCGCUGGGGGUGGGUAUGGAGCAGGUAGGGCUGGAAGAAGCAGCCAUACACAGGUGUUUGCUCAUUCACCAGUGCCUGGCUUUGUCCUGGCACUAGAUCCCUCAGAGUCGGCCCUGCGCCUAAUAAAUUAACAGAUACAAUAGCAUGUGAUGAGGACCACACGGGAAGCCAUGGCAGCGGCUACCGCCCAGCCAGCGCUUCCAUUUCUCAUUUCUAAAUCCUACCCUAAUCUGUCAGGGGAGAGUCGCUGACGGUGAAGAACCGGUCUAAGGAGUUGAACCAGGUCCCCACGGAUGCCUGCCGCCCUCCGCACUCGAAUUCCCCUGCGCAGGGCUCUGGGGCGCUGGGCUCGCCGGGGAGAAGGGUUGGGCAGAGGCUUACGGAGCUAUGUUCCCAAGUGAGAGAGUUGGCGGGCAGGGAAGAGCCUUGGGAGCAAGACUGCAAAGGCCAAGAGGAUGAGGGAUAAAAUGAAGCAUUUGAAUUUCAUGGGAAAAGGGAACCGUCAAGGAAGAAGCUUUUUUUUUUUUUUGAGACGGAGUUUCGCUCUUGAUUCGCAGGCUGGAGUGCAAUGGCGCGAUCUCGGCUUGCCGCACCCUCCGCCUCCCGGCUUCAAGCGAUUCUCCUGCCUCAGCCUCCUGAAUAGCUGGGAUCACAGGCAUGCGCCACCACUUCCAGCUAAUUUUGUAUUUUUAGUAGAGACGGGUUUUUCCAUGUUGGUCAGGCUGGUCUUAAAUUCCCGACCUCAGGUGAUCCGCCCGCCUCGGCCUCCCAAAGUGCUGGGAUUACAGGCGUGAGCCACCGCGCCUGGCCGGAAGAAGCUCUUUUAAGACAGACCUAGCCUGGGCAACAUGGCGAAACCCCCUCUCUAUAAAUACAAAGAAUUAGCCGGGCGUGCUCGCUCGUGCCUUUGGUUCCAGCUACGAAGGAGGCUGAGGUGGAGAAUCUCUGGAGCCGGGAAGGACAUUGCGGUGAGCCGAGAUAGCACCACUGCGCGCCAGCCUGGGCAACAGAGCAAGACUCUGUCUUAAAAAAAAAAAAAAAAAAGGAAAGAAAGAAAAAGACUGACUCAGUGCCGGUACACAACAAUGCGUUGAAAGAAUGGGCAAAUGAAGCAGCUUCUUAAAAUUUUAAAAAGUAAGCAUAGCUCUAGGAAGGAGGGAGGUCAGUGAAAUCAAACUCCUGUCGACAAGCUUAAAGUAACUGGCAAGACGCUGGGAAACUAGAUACUGAAACAUCCGCUCUUAACUUUUAACCUGUCACUAUUUGAAAUAAAGUUAUCAGGGAUAGCCGGGCGCGGUGGCUCACGCCUGUAAUCCCAGCACUUUGGGAGGCUGAGGCGGGCGGAUCACGAGAUCAAGAGAUCGAGACCAUCCUGGCUAACACGGUGAAACCCCGUCUCUACUAAAAAUACAAAAAAAUUAGACGGGCGUGGUGGCGGGCGCCUGUAGUCCCAGCUACUCAGGAGGCUGAGGCAGGAGAAUGGCGUGAACCCGGGAGGCGGAGCUUGCAGUAAGCCACGAUCGCACCACUGCACUCCAGCCUAGGUGGCAGAGCGAGACUCCGUCUCAAAAAAAAAGUAUCAGGGAUAAAGAGAGAACCCUUUAUAACAACAAACGGGUCAGUUCUCCAAGAAAACAACACCCCUCCCCCCCAAAAAAGCCAUAAUCUGUCACUAUUUGAUUAAUAACUUUUCCCAAAGCAUUAGGAAUUUUAGUCAAAUCGGGUACCCUAUUUGGGUAAUGUUUUUUUCUAGCAAAGUUUAUCAUUAGCCAAUUUUACAUUUUUAGUUCAGAUAUGGAAUAGGUAUCUCAAAUUUAAUAUGACUCCAAUUCCCAAACCAUGCCCCUUUGUUUCAGUUAAACACGAUCCUGUUUGCUCAAACUUAAUACAAACCUAGGCAUCUCCGUUUUUCUCUGAUUUCCCUCUGUCAUCCCAGCUCUACCACAAGAAUGUAUCAUGAAUAUGUUCCCUUUGCCCCAUUUCCACCUUCAGUCCCAGCCACCAUCACCUCCUAUCUGGGCAACUCUGUAGUAUCCACACCGUCUGGUCACGUCCCCACUCUAAACACAACCCACUCUCCACCUAGCAGUCAGAGUGAUCCAUUAAAUACAUAAAGCAGAUUAAUUCAUUGCUCCCCUGUGUAAAUCCCUCCCAUACUUUCUCAAUGCACCUAAGAUCCAAUCCCUGGACCCACGUCUUGCCACUAUCCCCCGAUUCUAAACGCUCUAACCGCACUUACUCCUUUCUGACUCUACAAGGUAGCAAUGUGUUCCUUUCCUGCUUAGAGCCCUUCCUCUUGCUGUUGGCACUGCCUGAAGUGCUUGCUCUUCCUCAAGACCUUUUCAGGUCUCACUUUCACAUCCUGGCCUCCAUGUCAUCUCAGGGUGGCUUUCCCUAAAUAGGAUCAUCUAAAGUAGUCCUUCUUCCCAACACAAUAUCCUAUUGAUUACUUUCAAAGCACCCAAAUCUCUAACAUCCUUUCUAGUUGCUUGUUUGGUUGCCUGUCCACCUCCAAUAAAAAUUAGCUCUGAGAGUACAACGUUUAUUGCUUUAUCUCCAACACCCACAAGAGUGCCUGGCGGGAAGUUAGGUACUCAGUAAUUAUUUGAAAGAAUGAACCUAAAUAAUGUCAUUUUUCCCCCUUUGUAGAUGUCUAGAUUGUAGACUUUAUUUCAGGAAGAUGAUGGGAAUAGUAGAUUUAGCAAUCUAGUCCCAGAUUACAGGAUGUCUGUGUGUAAUUUGGGUUGUCAGUUAGUUAUACAUGAAGAUUUUUGUUUUUGUUUUUUGAGAGAGUCUCGUUCUGUCACCCAGGCUGGAGUGCAGUGGCCUGAUCUUGGCUCACUGCAACCUGCACCUCCCGAGUUCAAGAGAUUCUCCUGCCUCAGCCUCCCGAGUAGCUGGGACUACUGGCACCCGCCACCACGCCCGGCCAAUUUUUGUAUUUUAGUAGAGAUGGGGGUUUCACCAUGUUGGCCAGGCUGGUCUCAAACUCCUGAUCUCAAGUGAUCCGCCCGCCUCAGCCUCCCAAAGUGCUGGGAUUACAGGUGUGAGCCACUGCACCCGGCCUGCCAUAGUUAUUUUAUCUGGUAAUGUUUGUAUAUUCAGUAAUGAUGAUAAAAUACGAUGUAGUGCUGAGUUUUAAUCAAACGGUGUUUACCUUCUAUUAAGCCAUGCUCCAUUGCCUUUAUAUGUGGCAUGCUUUUGUGAGAGCUGCUUUUGCAAAUUGGAAACUUCUAAUUUUUUAGACAAAGGGAAAGUUAUAAUUUUAGUAUCUAGAAAAUAGUUACUGUUAAUGCAUUUAUUAAGGUCAGAAGUUCAGUGAUCAAAUAGCUUUACAAACUGAAUUUUUAAUAUUUUUUUACUGAGGUAAAUUCAUACCAUGAAAUUCACUUUUUUACCAUUUUGAAGUAUACAGUUACUUCAGUAACUUUUAUUGCACUCACAAUGUUGUGCAGUCAUUACCACUAAUUCCUGAUAUGUUAUUACCCCCAAAAGAAACCCGGUAACUAUUAAGCUGUUGGCUCUCCAGUCUCCUCUCCCCACUCUAAUCUGCUGUCUCAUGGACUUGCCUAUUCUGGACAUUUCAUAUAAAUAGAAUCAUAAGGCCAGGCACGGUGGCUCAUGCCUGUAAUCCCAGCAUUUUGGGAGGCCGAGGCGGGUGGAUCACGAGGUCAGAAGUUCAAGACCAGCCUGGCCAACAUGGUGAAACCUCGUCUCUACUAAAAAUACAAAAAUUAGCCAGGUAUGGUGGCAGGCACCUGUAAUCCCAGCUACUCCGGAGGCUGAGGCAGAGAAUCGCUUGAACCCAGGAGGUGGAGGUUGCAGUGAGCCGAGAUGGUGCCACUGCACUCCAGCCUAGGCAUGAGCCACCGCGUCCGGCCUUAUGAUUCUAUUUAUAUGAAAUGUCCAGAGAUGGAGUUUUGUCAUGUUUGCCAGGCUGGUCUCAAACUCCUGACCUCAGGUGAUCCAUCUGCCUCGGCCUCCCAAAGUGCUGGGAUUACAGGUGUAAGCCACCGUGCCCAACUUUUUUUUAAAGGGACGGGGUUCUCACGAUUUUGCUCAGGCUGGUCUUGAACUCCUGGGCUGAUGCAACCCUCCAGCCUCAGCCUUCCAAAGUGCUGGGAUUAUAGGCAUGAGCCACUCCCCAGCUUCCCGAGCAUGUUUUCAGGGUUCAUUCAUGUUGUAGCACGUAUCAGUACUUUUUCCCUUUUUAUGACUGAAUAAAAGUCCAUUGUAUGGACUUUUUUUUUUUUUUUUUUUUUUUUUUUUGAGACGAUCAAGCGAUUCUCCUGCCUCAGCCUCCCUAGUAGCUGGGAUUACAGGCAUGUACCACCAUGCCCAGCUAAUUUUGUAUUUUUAGUAGAGACGGGGUUUCUCCAUGCUGGUCAGGCUGGUCUGGAACUCCCAACCUCAGGUGAUCUGCCCGCCUUGGCCUCCCAAAGUGCUGGCAUUACAGGCGUGAGCCACCACGCCUGGCCCUUUGCCCAUUUUAUUUUUUUUAUUUUUUCUUGCUCUGCAGUCAUCCAGGCUGGAGUGCAGUGGCACGAUCUUGGCUCACUGCAACCUCUGCCUUCCGGAUUCAAGUGAUCCUCGUGCUUCAGCCUCCUGAAUAGCUGGGAUCACAGGAGCUAUUUUGAAGUAUACAGUUACUUCGUAACUUUUAUUACACUCACAAUGUUGUGCAAUCAUUACCACUAAUUCCUGAUAUGUUACUACCCACAAAAGAAACCCGGUAACUGGAGCGUGCCACCACGCCUAGCUAGUUUCUGUGUGUUUUUUUUUAGUAGAGUCAGGGUUUUGCCAUGUUGGCCAGGCUGGUCUCGAACUCCUGACCUCAGAUGAUCCACCCGCCUCAGCCUCUCAAAGUGCUGGGAUUACAGGCGUGAGCCACCAUGCCCGGCCCUUUGCCCAUUUUUAAAUUGGACUGUCUUUUUGUUGUUGAGUUGUAAGAAUUCUUUACAUAUAUCUGAUUCCUUUUAUCAGAUACACUAUUGGGAAAUAUUUUUUCCCAUUCUAUGGGUUGUCUUUUAUUUCUUUAAUAGCGUCCUUUGAUGCACAAAAGUUAAUUUUGAUGAAGUCCCAAUUAAUCCAUUUUUUUCUUUUGUGGCUCAUGCUUUUAGUGUCACAUCUAAGAAUCAUCAAAUCCAAGGUCAUAAAGAUGUGUGUACACCCAGGUUUUUGUUUUAUUCUAAGAGUUUUAUAUUUUUGGCUUUUUUUUUUCUUUUUUUUUUUUUUUCCCAGAGACAAGGUCUCGCUCCGUCACCCAUGCUGUAGCGCAGUGAUGAGAUCUGGCUUAUUGCAGCCUUGAACUCCUGGGCUCAAGGGAUCCUCCCACCUUGACCUGCCAAAGUACUGGGAUUGCAGGUGUGAGCCACUGUGCCCAACCACUUUUAGCUCUUAUGUUUAGGUCUUUGAUCCAUUUUGAGUUAAUUUUUUUAUGUGGUGUAAGAGUCCUACUGAUGCUUUUGCAUGUGGUUAUCCAGUUGUACCAGCACCAUUUAUUGGAAAAACCUUUUCUUUUUUUAAAUGGUCAAAAAAAACCACAACUUUUUUUCUUUAAAUGGUCUUGACAGUGUUGGUGUGUGUCUUUCCUGGAUCAUGAUUCAAACAAAUAAAAAGAACUAAAUACUGAUUCUUGAAAUGAAAAAAUACAAGAAUUGGCUGGGCAUGAUGGCUCCCGCCUGUAAUCCCAACACUUUGGGAAGCCAAGGUGGACAGAUUGCUUGAGCCCAGGUAUUUGAGAGUUUGAGACCAGCCUGGGCAACAUGGUGAAACCCCAUUUCUACAAAAAAUACAAAAAUUAGCCAGGCAUGGUGGCAUGUGCCUGUAGUCCCAGCUAUUUCAGAGGCUGAAGUGAGAGGAUGAUUUGAACCCAGGGAGGUUGAGGCUGCAGUGACCCAUGAUUGUGCCACUGCACUCCAACCUGGGCAACAGAUUGAGACCCCGUCUCAAAAAAAGAAAAAGAAAAUAGAACAACCAAAAUUUAAAAACUAAUGGAUAGGUUAAACAGUUGGAAGUAGUGAAUUAGAAAAUAAGUCAGAAAAAAUUAUUGAGAAUGCAGGGACAAAAAAAAAAGAGACAUGAAGAGAAGACAUGGAAGAAGAGUGGAAAUGUCUAUUAUACAUUAUACAUUUAAUCAGAGUUCGAAAAGGUGGCAGACAAAAUGUUUGAAACGAUAAUGGCUAGCAAGUAUUCAGAACUGAAGAAAGCUACUGAUCCAGUUUUUUUUUUGUUUUUUUUUUUUUGAGACGGAGUCUCACUCUGUUGCCCAGGCUGGAGUGCAAUGGCACAGUCUCAGCUCACUGCAACCUCUGCCUCCCGGGUUCAAGCGAUUCUCCUGCCUCAGCCUCCCGAGUAGCUGGGACUACAGGUGCGUGCCACCACACCCAGCUAAUUUUCGUAUUUUUAGUAGAGAUGGGGUUUCAGUAUUUUGGCCAGGCUGGUCUUGAACUCCUGACCUCGUGAUCUGCCCACCUCAGCCUCCCAAAGUGCUGGGAUUAUAGGCGUGAGCCACCACACCCAACUUUUUGUUGUUGUUGUUGGAGACGAGUCUCGCUCUGUUGCCCAGGCUGGAAUGCAGUGGCAUGAUCUCGGCUCACUGCCACCUCCGCUUCCCAGGUUCAAACAAUUCUCCAGCCUCAGCUUCCUGAGUAGCUGGGAUUAUAGGCACGCGCCACCACGCCCGGCUAAUUUUUAAAUUUUUAGUAGAGGUGGGGGUUUCACCAUAUUGGCCAGGCUAGUCUCGAACUCCUAGCCUCGUGAUCCGCCUGCCUCGGCCUCCCAAAGUGCUGGGAUUAUAGGGGUGAGCCACCGCACCCAGCCCUGAUCCACGGUUUUAAGAAUCUUAAAUAGGGCGGCUGGGCAUGGUGGCUCACGCCUGUAAUCCCAGCACUUUGGGAGGCCGAGGCGGGUGGAUCACGAGGUCAGGAGAUCGAAACCAUCCUGGCCAACACGGUGAAACCCCGUCUCUACUAAAAAUACAAAAAAUUAGACGGGUGUGGUGGCAGGCGCCUGUAGUCCCAGCUACUCGGGAGGCUGAGGCAAGAAAACGGCAUGAACCCGGGAGGCGGAGCUUGCAGUAAGCCGAGAUCGCGCCACUGCACUCCAGCCUGGGCGAGAGUGAGACUCCUUCUCAAAAAAUAAAUAAAUAAAUAAUCUUAAAUAGGAUACAUUCAAAGAUAUCCAUACCUAGGAACAUCUUAGUUAAUACAGAUGGAACAAGGUUAGCCCUAAGGUAAUAACUAUUGAAGCUGUGUGAUGGAUUCACCCAUGGAGUUCAUUAUGCUGUUAUCUGAUUUUGUAAAUGAUUAAAGACUUGCAUAAUGAAGUUUUUCAGAAGAGUAAGGAUGAAAUAAAGAUCCUUUUUUUUCUGACAGAAACUGUCACCCCCAAAGCUGGCUCUAAUUGAGUUACUGCUCUUUCAUGGUCUCUGGGCCCUUUCACAUGUCAUCUUAGGGUCAGAGAACCACACCUUCACACUGUUACCAUUACAGGAUGAAGGUACUGUAUAAGAAGAAUCCACAUUUCUCAGUUCUGUAGAUACGUCUGUAAUAUAACUGUUGCAGGACUACUUAAUAUCUUAAGUACCAAAGGCCAGGGACUAUACUCACAGAAGCAUUUCCCUUCUAAGAAAUAGUGAUGGACUGUAGCAAAGUGGUUGCAAUCCAGACCUUCAAAGAGUAACUCUCAGGCCCGGCGUGGUGGCUGUAAUCCCAGCACUUCGGGAGGCCGAGGCGGGCGGAUCACUUGAGGUCAGGAAUUUGAGACCAGCCUGGCCAACACGGCGAAACCCCAUCUAUUAAUAAGGGAGGAGACCACCCCUCAUAUCGUCUUAUGCCCAAUUUCUGCCUCCAAAGAAAGAAGUAAAAACUAAAAGGCAGAAAUGAAAUCCACAGGCAGACAGCCCGGUGCCACACCCCAGGCCUGGUAGUUAAAGAUUGACCCCUGACCUAAUGGGUUAUCUAUAGAUUACAGACAUUGUAUAGAAAUGCACUGUGAAAAUCCCUGUUUUGUUCCGAUCUAAUUACCGGUGCAUGCAGCCCCCAGUCACAUACCCCUGGCUUGCUCAAUCAAUCACGACCCUCUCACACGCACCCCCUUAGAGUUGUGAGCCCUUAAAAGGGACAGGAAUUGCUCCCUGGGGGGGCUCGGCUCGAGACAGGAGUCUUGCCAAUGCCCGCGGCCGAAUAAACCCCUUCCUUUAACUCCGCGUCUGAGGAGUUUUGUCUGCGGCUUGUCCUGCUACACUAAAAAUACAAAAAUUAGCCGGGCGUGGUUGUGUGUGCCUGUAGUUCCAGCUACUCAGGAAGCUGAGGCAGGAGAAUCGCUUUAACCCAGGAGAUGGAGGUUGCAGUGAGCCGAGAUGUCGCCACUGCACUCCAGGCCUGGGAGACAAAGUAAGACUCUGUCUCAAAAAAAAAAAAGAGUUAACACUCAGAAGUCAGAAUCUCUAUUUGAACAUUUUUAGGGGCAACUAACAGGUUAGUUCUGAAAUUCAGGAUUAUUAAACCUAAUAGACUCCUGGGUGAGAUGCAAAGAACAUCAAGAGUGAGCUCAUUGCAAAGUCUGGAACCAAAAAUGUUAGUAUGUCAACAAGGAAAGAAAUGAUAGCAGAG
rnacentral:lncRNA from 10 species